rnacentral:rRNA from 1 species
GACGAACGCUGGCGGCGUGCCUAAUACAUGCAAGUAGAACGCACAGUUUAUACCGUAGCUUGCUACACCAUAAACUGUGAGUUGCGAACGGGUGAGUAACGCGUAGGUAACCUGCCUGGUAGCGGGGGAUAACUAUUGGAAACGAUAGCUAAUACCGCAUAAUAUUGAUUAUUGCAUGAUAAUUGAUUGAAAGAUGCUAUUGCAUCACUACCAGAUGGACCUGCGUUGUAUUAGCUAGUAGGUGAGGUAACGGCUCACCUAGGCGACGAUACAUAGCCGACCUGAGAGGGUGAUCGGCCACACUGGGACUGAGACACGGCCCAGACUCCUACGGGAGGCAGCAGUAGGGAAUCUUCGGCAAGGGACGAAAGUCUGACCGAGCAACGCCGCGGGAGUGAAGAAGGUUUUCGGAUCGUAAAGCUCUGUUGUAAGAGAAGAACGGGUGUGAGAGUGGAAAGUUCACACUGUGACGGUAUCUUACCAGAAAGGGACGGCUAACUACGUG